UACGGGGGGUGCGAGCGUUGUUCGGAAUUAUUGGGCGUAAAGAGCGUGUAGGCGGCUGAAUAAGUCAGAUGUGAAAUCCCUGGGCUUAACCCAGGACGUGCAUUUGAAACUAUUCGGCUUGAGUAAGGGAGAGGAAAGUGGAAUUCCUGGUGUAGAGGUGAAAUUCGUAGAUAUCAGGAGGAACACCGGUGGCGAAGGCGACUUUCUGGCCCUAUACUGACGCUGAGACGCGAGAGCGUGGGUAGCAAACAGG
rnacentral:rRNA from 1 species